UGGGGAAUCUUGCACAAUGGGCGAAAGCCUGAUGCAGCCGUGCCGCGUGAAUGAUGAAGGCCUUAGGGUUGUAAAAUUCUUUCGCUAGGGAUGAUAAUGACAGUACCUAGUAAAGAAGCCCCGGCUAACAUCGUGCCAGCAGCCGCGGUAAUACGAAGGGGGCUAGCGUUGUUCGGAAUUACUGGGCGUAAAGCGCGCGUAGGCGGACUUUUAAGUCAGAUGUGAAAUCCCGAGGCUCAACCUCGGAACUGCAUUUGAAACUGGAAGUCUAGAGUCCGGGAGAGGUUAGCGGAAUACCGAGUGUAGAGGUGAAAUUCGUAGAUAUUCGGUGGAACACCAGUGGCGAAGGCGGCUAACUGGACCGGUACUGACGCUGAGGCGCGAAAGCGUGGGGAGCAAACAGGAUUAGAUACCCCUGUAGUCC
rnacentral:rRNA from 1 species